CGGCGUGCCUAACACAUGCAAGUCGAACGAGAAAGCUCCUUCGGGAGUGAGUAGAGUGGCGCACGGGUGAGUAACACGUGGAUAAUCUGCCUGAUAAUCUGGGAUAACAUUUCGAAAGGGAUGCUAAUACCGGAUAAGCCCACAGCCUCUUCGGAGGCAGCGGGAAAAGAUGGCCUCUUCUUGAAAGCUAUUGUUAUCAGAUGAGUCCGCGGUCCAUUAGCUAGUUGGUAGGGUAAUGGCCUACCAAGGCUACGAUGGAUAGCUGGUUUGAGAGAAUGAUCAGCCACACUGGAACUGAGACACGGUCCAGACUCCUACGGGAGGCAGCAGUGGGGAAUUUUGCGCAAUGGGGGAAACCCUGACGCAGCAACGCCGCGUGAGUGAUGAAGGUUUUCGGAUCGUAAAGCUCUGUCAAGAGGGAAGAAACCUCCAACGGCUAAUACCUGUUGGAAUUGACGGUACCUCUAGAGGAAGCACCGGCUAACUCCGUGCCAGCAGCCGCGGUAAUACGGAGGGUGCAAGCGUUGUUCGGAAUUAUUGGGCGUAAAGCGCGUGUAGGCGGUUAGUUAAGUCUGAUGUGAAAGCCCCGGGCUCAACCUGGGAAGUGCAUUGGAUACUGGCAAACUUGAGUACGGGAGAGGGAAGUGGAAUUUCGAGUGUAGGGGUGAAAUCCGUAGAUAUUCGAAGGAACACCAGUGGCGAAGGCGGCUUCCUGGACCGAUACUGACGCUGAGACGCGAAAGCGUGGGGAGCAAACAGGAUUAGAUACCCUGGUAGUCCACGCCGUAAACGAUGGGUACUAGGUGUUGCGGGUAUUGACCCCUGCAGUGCCGAAGCUAACGCAUUAAGUACCCCGCCUGGGGAGUA
rnacentral:rRNA from 1 species